AGUUUGAGAAACUGGGGGCAUGUACCAUACUGUUCCAUAACGUGAGAUGAGGUGGCAUCAGCUCACAAGGCCAAACAAAUGUGACUAUAAAUUACUUC